UACCAGCACCCCGAGUGGUCGGGACGUUUAUUGGGCCUAAAGCAUCCGUAGCCGGUUCUACAAGUCUUCCGUUAAAUCCACCUGCUUAACAGAUGGGCUGCGGAAGAUACUAUAGAGCUAGGAGGCGGGAGAGGCAAGCGGUACUCGAUGGGUAGGGGUAAAAUCCGUUGAUCCAUUGAGGACCACCAGUGGCGAAGGCGGCUUGCCAGAACGCGCUCGACGGUGAGGGAUGAAAGCUGGGGGAGCAAACCGGG
rnacentral:rRNA from 1 species